CCUACGGGAGGCAGCAGUGGGGAAUAUUGGGCAAUGGGCGAAAGCCUGACCCAGCAACGCCGCGUGAAGGAAGAAGGCCUUCGGGUUGUAAACUUCUUUUCUCAGGGACGAAGAAAGUGACGGUACCUGAGGAAUAAGCUACGGCUAACUACGUGCCAGCAGCCGCGGUAAUACGUGGGUGGCAAGCGUUAUCCGGAUUGACUGGGUGUAAAGGGCGUGUAGGCGGGGGGGCAAGUCCGCUGUGAAAACUCAGGGCUCAACCCGGAGCCUGCAUUUGAAACUGUGUUUCUUGAGUGCUGGAGAGGCUAGCGGAAUGCCGGGUGUAGCGGUGAAAUGCGUAGAUAUACGGAGGAACACCAGUGGCGAAGGCGGAUUGCUGGACAGUAACUGACGCUGAGGCGCGAAAGCGUGGGGAGCAAACAGGAUUAGAUACCCCAGUAGUC
rnacentral:rRNA from 1 species